GACCCACCUGAUCCCAUUCCGAACUCAGAAGUGAAACGAAAUAGCGCCGAUGGUAGUGUGGGGUUUCCCCAUGUGAGAGUAGGACAUCGCCAGGC
rnacentral:rRNA from 1 species